GACGAACGCUGGCGGCGUGCUUAACACAUGCAAGUCGAACGGAAAGGCCCUGCUUUUGUGGGGUGCUCGAGUGGCGAACGGGUGAGUAACACGUGAGUAACCUGCCCUUGACUUUGGGAUAACGUCAGGAAACUGGGGCUAAUACCGGAUAGGAGCUCCUGCUGCAUGGUGGGGGUUGGAAAGUUUCGGCGGUUGGGGAUGGACUCGCGGCUUAUCAGCUUGUUGGUGGGGUAGUGGCUUACCAAGGCUUUGACGGGUAGCCGGCCUGAGAGGGUGACCGGCCACAUUGGGACUGAGAUACGGCCCAGACGCCUACGGGAGGCAGCAGUGGGGAAUAUUGCACAAUGGGCGGAAGCCUGAUGCAGCAACGCCGCGUGCGGGAUGACGGCCUUCGGGUUGUAAACCGCUUUCGCCUGUGACGAAGCGUGAGUGACGGUAAUGGGUAAAGAAGCACCGGCUAACUACGUG
rnacentral:rRNA from 1 species